CUCGAGCUGUCGCGAGAAUUGUUUAUAGCGUUCGCGUGAAUGGGGGUUACUUUGGCGCCUCCUCUCUGUGCGUUCUUGGGUUGCGGUUGUGCGGUUGUUCCACUAGGGUGGUGGGUAAGGCUGGCAUGGCGACCGCGGUUUGCGCAAAUUUUUGAAAGCCUGAAGAAAAGGAGUAGUUGUUUCUUGUCGGUCGCAGCCUCAUGGAGGUAGCAGGGGUAGGUUUUCUGCCGAGGGUCAUUCUUUGUAUCCUUGAGGAAGGGAAUGACGUCAACGGGCGUAACGACGGCGCAACAGUGUCUCGGGAGCGCUGCAGCGGGGAGUGCGCCCCGGAGAAGCGCCCGGGUCGCCGCGCGGGGAUGCUCCCGAAACCGUCCGCCCGGCCUAGCGGGAACUCGGCGUGAUUUUCAGGGUAGUAAAGUGUCCUAUAUUUUAUUUCUGGAUUGUCCGAUUUUUAAAACAUUUAUCACGAAUAGGGAUGAAGUAAAGUGUCCCUGUAUUUUACUUUUAGAUUGUCAGAUUUUUACAUUUUUAUCACAAGUGGGGACGAAUUCAGGCUGGAGGCCUUAGUUCUCGAGCUGAUUUCGAAGUUUCUGUGUAGAUAAUGUGGAUGAGGCUGCAGCAAUAUGACUGCCCUUUUCUUUACCUUUAAAAAGCGUGGUUCUUGCAAAAUCAGUUUUAACCAGACCUAGUAACCUAGAUUCAUCGUAUGUGUCCAUGGCCAAUUUUACUGAGGUCCUUACCGUUAAGAACUGCAUCCAUUCCUUGACUAAAAUUGGCUUUGCGGCUUCUAAGAAAUUAGUUUCCCCAGCCGCAACCUGUGAGAAUGCAAACGUAAUGUUCUGUGUUAUUAUCCCGGGACCAGAUUUUUCUGUUUUAAUUUUCUAUUUGCUUCAAGUAUCAGGUAGUUUCCAACGUUUCUUCAGACCUUCCAGAGCAUAUCGUGGCACAUAAUUUACUGCAUUAAUGAUAGUAGUUUCAGACUCAUUAGGAUGCAUUAGGAGUUGAUCACAGUUAAUUUUUUCCCGCAAAUUCUUUUCCUUUAGGUAACAAAGAAUGAGGUAAAAUGAACUCUAUCAACUUUGAGUAUUUUGUGUUUUGUGAAUUAAGUCUCAAAGAGUACUUUUCCGAUUGCUAGUCUCAGUAAUUGGGAGAGAUGUGCGCUGCAGUCUUCCUGAUAACCAAAAAUUAAUGUGUCCACUUGCUCAAGGCCCAAAGUCAGAUAGCUAAACAGUUCUGUGCACCUAGAUGCAAGUGGACCAUCGUUUUCCUCUAAUGAGCUUUGCCUACCAUCUUACCUAUUUAUAGGUCUAAUUACCUUUUCAGUGUGCAUAGCUAUCUAUUUAAAUUUGAGAGGAAUUUGUAUUUGGAAAAGCAGUGAAUGUAUUGGACUACAGAUUUAAGCAUGAUUGGUAAAACUAAAAGUAGUGUUGAGUGGUAUUGCUAAAUAGGAUUUUUUCAAUUGUGUUUUGAGAAAGUACCCAAUAAAGGCAUUUGUUAGUAAUUGAUUUUUUUCAAAUUUAAUAAUUAGACUUGUAUGCCAAUGAGUCCUGGUCAACACAGUGUUAACCACAGAAUGAUAUAAUUUAUCUCAAAAGAAAUAAAACUUUAUUUCAUGUAUGCCACAAUUUUAGUUGUCUCUAAGUAUUGAAAAUAAGUAAGGACCUCUAUUUCUAGUGUUUUGGUAGAUUCUCCUAGAAGUGUGGGUAUUCUCAGACAGUGGAACCAUUUGGAUUCUGUCUAGGUCAGAAUUUCUCAACAUCAUUAUUAUUGACACUUUAUGCCCAGAUAAUUCUUUGUUUUGUAGCACUAGUGUACAUUGUAGUAUGUUUAGCAGCAUCCUUGGCCUCUACCCAUAGAUGCCAGUAUCACAACCCUCCCACCUCCCAGUACCAAUUGUGACACCCAGAAAUGUCUCCAGAUACUGCAGAUGUCCCCUAAGAGGCAAGAUCACAGUGAGAACCACUGGUCAGCCUUGAUUCCUGCCUCUGCUUUUCCAUCAAGAAGACCUGUUUACCAUACUUAAAAGGUACAUUCCAAAUUUCAUCACUUUUCACCUCCACUCCUUGCAAGUUACUGUCACUUCAAUCUUGGACUGUUACAGUAGCAUCCUAGGUGGUUUUUCUGCUUCUACUCUUACAUCUUCACAAUUUACUUUUAAAAAUUAAGAAAUUUUGUAUAGAAAAGUAUGUAAUAUAUAUGUAACAGUUCAGAAGUAACAAGCACCCAUGUAUCUACAGGAAUGUUCUCUGAGGAAUAGACCAGUAUUUUUGAAGCUCAAGGGUGCCUCUACCUGAUUGUAUUACAGUUGUUCCUUCAUAUAGCAGCUUGAAAGAUUUCAUUAAAACAUAAAUCACAUCAUCUCACCUAUUUCUUCUUUCCUUUGCAGUUUUAAUCUUAUCUCCUGGAAUGGCCUAAGGGCGCCAUAUAAUCAGGCUAUUAUCUAAACUCUCCUCAUUCCACUUGAGCCACCUUGCUGUCCAGCAUUAUUCCUGCCUCUGGGACUUCAUGCUUGCUUUUUCCACUUACAGAUCAGAUGUUCUUAUAAACCCUGACAUGGAUGAUUUGUCUUCAUCAUUCAGGUGUCAGUUCAGAUGUCAUCUCAGACCAUCUCUGACCUCUGGUUAUGCUAUUCUGCAAUCACUCUAUCCAAUUACCAUGUUCUCUUUAUAGCAUUUAUCUGAAAUUAUGUUCUGUGUGAUGACUUGUUUAUUGUCUCUCUCCUAUUAGACUGUAAACUCCUGGAGAGCAAGGACCUUGUCUGUCUCUACCAUUAACUAGUCCCUGACACAUAGUCAUGGCAUUCUAGAUACUUGUUGAAUGAAUGAAUAUUGAAAAAAAUCCACCUCUGCAUUUAGUUUUGUGACCUUGGGCAAGUGACUUAGUCUCUGUGUCUCAGAUUUCUCAUCUACAUAAUGAUCGUAACCUGCCUUGCUGUCCUUGAAUGAGGUAUCUCUAUUAGCUCUUCAGAAACUGGCAAGUGCUAUACAAAUGGAAAUCAGUAUUAUUAACCAUAGAAUUUGGCUUUUGGUAUUUAAUAAUUAGGAAUGGAUGGAUAAUUCAUGGUACUCCACUUAUGUAAGUUUUUUGGAUUUAACAUCUAUGUUCAAAUCUUACUUUUGGUAAAAUCUAGGAUCUUGUAACAGCAGCUGAAUUGUGGGGAAACUGUAACCAGUGACUUUUGAUUUGGUUGUGUGUGAAUUAGUUCUGAAUCCACUCAGUCUACUCAAAGUCACUUGUACUUCGCUUUUCACUCUAGACUAAGGUGUGAAUGCAAGCAGAAAAUAGUUGCAUUAUAAAGGACAAAGUUGUUAACACAAAUGUAACUUGGUAACAUUGUGGAGAACAGUUUGACCAGUGUCUGAAACUGGAGGCCACCUCGUAUAGUAAAAAGGACUCUGGACUUGGUCCUAGAGGAUCUAGAUUCAAGUCUGACCCAUGUGCCCUUUGGUAAGUCACACAACUUCUUCCUCUUACCAGCAUAUCAAAAAGAAAGGGCAGUUUAAUCUGAUUUUGAAAAGUGUCAACAGUAAAGGAUAAGAAGUCUAAUGUUUUUACACAGUACUUUCUGUUUUCUGUUUCAGAAAUUACCAUAGUGUCUCACCCCCAGUUAUUAGAAACUUAUUCUCUGAUUUGAAUGUCAGAUUUAAUAGUGUGUCUUGAUUGAAGGGCUAUUAGAAGAUUGACAAAUACUGGUAAUCGCUCAUGACCAUUGAUUCGCCCUAAAUCCAGCCUUUUGCCAUUCUUGUCAUCCCAACCUAUUUGUAAUGGUAGGAUCCCUGGGCCUUUUCACGUAUCUUCCUCGCCUCUUCUGUUUUACUGUUGCCUGUUGAAAAUUUUCCAUUUUUCGAGAAAUGCUAUCUGAACUCUCAAAUUUAGGGAUUCCUAUUUGUUUUCAUGUACCUUAUCAUGGUAAUAAUACCAUAAUAUCAUUUAUUGUUUAUUUAGAAUUCCCAUUAGAUCGUAAGGUUCAUGACAGUAAGAGCUAUUUCUUUUUGUGUCUUUAUUACAUAGCACACUCUAUUCUGGGCACUGUUCUAAGAGCUUUACAUGUAUUUAAUUCAUUUAUUCUCCCAAUGGCUUUAUGAGCUAGGUGCUAUUAAAAUCUCCAUUUUGCUGGGGUACAGAUAAGUUAACUUGCCCAAGGUUGCAUGUUAGGGCUGAGAUUUGAACCCAGGCAGCCUGACUUGAAAGAAUGGAAGAAUGUAUAAAAAGUCAAGUAAUGAAAUGUAUCUCCUUGUAAUUUCUAGGGUAUGGAUCACAGUUUAGUAUAUCUUACAUGGAUUUUAUUAGCAUUAGUUUUAAUCAUGACUUAAGUCAAAAUUCUUCAUGGGAAGGCGACUCUUAAUGUAAGGUAAUAAAAUUAGAUUACUUACAAAAUUUAAAGAACCAAUGUGUUGUAUAA